rnacentral:rRNA from 1 species
CUCAAAGGUUCCCUCAGAAUGGUUGGAAAUCAUUCAUAGAGUGUAAAGGCAUAAGGGAGCUUGACUGCGAGACCUACAAGUCGAGCAGGGUCGAAAGACGGACUUAGUGAUCCGGUGGUUCCGCAUGGAAGGGCCAUCGCUCAACGGAUAAAAGCUACCCCGGGGAUAACAGGCUUAUCUCCCCCAAGAGUUCACAUCGACGGGGAGGUUUGGCACCUCGAUGUCGGCUCAUCGCAUCCUGGGGCUGUAGUCGGUCCCAAGGGUU